AUGCCCCCCGAAGAUCCUAGUUACAGGCGCAGAUGCCGUGCACUAGCUAGUGGUGCGACCGAGCUGUCGGAAAUCGGUGUCAAGUUGACCGCCAGCGACAAGAGAUGGUUCGCAGACAUGAGCAUCCGUAAAGGACUCCUCGCCGGUGCGCUGUCGCUGACGCCAUUGUUCCUCAGCGACUGCACUGCUUGCUGGCUCAUCAACAUGGCGGCCUUUAAGGCCUGCACGUCCACCAGCUAUCCCUCGGAUGGUUUCGUCGUUAGCUCGUACCUCUCACUCCUGGCGAUGCUCAUGGACAAGGAGGAGGACGUGCACAAGGAGGAUAAGCACCUCCUGCGCAGCUUCUUCAGCGACCAAGAGGUGCUAGGCUUCUUCAAGGGCCUCACUCGCCACAUGCGCCUCGGCCGACGCUACUACUCCAUCUUGGAGGAAGUUGAACAUUACAAGCGUGAAAGGCCUAUGAGGAUUGCUGUCCAUAAGUUUCUCUACAGAAACUUCAAGACCAUAGCCGUCGUGCUCUCCAUCGCCGGCGUGCUUGUAGGAAUCUUCAAAACCCUCCUUAGUCUCAAGGAGCAUCCGCAGUAG
rnacentral:rRNA from 1 species